GAAUACUCAUAUUAAAUUCAUCAAAAUCAUUUGGAUAUAAUUCAGUCAUUCUCAUUAUUUUCUUGAUAUCAAAACUUGAAAAUAAGUUAACUGGAUUCAAAGAAGCAAUUCCAUGAAGCAAAUCAGUUGUCACCUCACCAAAAUGAUCAUUGAGUUCUUGAAGUUACCAAUUAAUAAUAUUGCAAAACACUUCAACACGGUAAUGAUGUAAGACUGUAUAAUUGGCAUGUCGGCGACGGGAUCUUAAAGAGCUAACAUAUGAAUCCUCAAAGUUAGGUAUCAAAAUAUCAUAUUUGUUACAAAAUAGAGAUACCUUAUCAAUAAGAGAAUUCCAUUCAUCAUCCCUUAAAACUUCCAACCUUCUCUUUGCUACUUCAACAAGUAGCAUGGCAUUUGCAAUAUCUUGCUCCUUUUUUUGUAAGCAUUUGUCAAGCUUAUUUGUAAUAAGCCAAAACAUCUCUCAUUAAAUGUAGCAUGAAUGCAACCUCAAAUGUUCG
rnacentral:lncRNA from 1 species